UACGUAGGGUGCAAGCGUUAAUCGGAAUUACUGGGCGUAAAGCGUGCGCAGGCGGUUUUUUAAGGCAGAUGGGAAAUCCCCGAGCUUAACUUGGGAACUGCAUUUGGGACUGGAAGGCUAGAGUACGGCAGAGGGGGGCGGAAUUCCACGUGUAGCAGUGAAAUGCGUAGAGAUGUGGAGGAACACCGAUGGCGAAGGCAACCCCCUGGGCCUGUACUGACGCUCAUGCACGAAAGCGUGGGGAGCAAACAGG
rnacentral:rRNA from 1 species